rnacentral:rRNA from 1 species
CCUACGGGAGGCAGCAGUGAGGAAUAUUGGUCAAUGGACGGAAGUCUGAACCAGCCAUGCCGCGUGCAGGAAGACGGCUCUAUGAGUUGUAAACUGCUUUUGUACAAGGGUAAACCUGGAUAUGUGUAUUCAGCUGAAAGUACUGUACGAAUACGGAUCGGCUAACUCCGUGCCAGCAGCCGCGGUAAUACGGAGGAUCCAAGCGUUAUCCGGAUUUAUUGGGUUUAAAGGGUGCGUAGGCGGAUUGAUAAGUUAGAGGUGAAAUGUCCGGGCUUAACUCGGGAACUGCCUCUGAUACUGUUGAUCUAGAGAGUAGAAGCGGUAGGCGGAAUGUAUGGUGUAGCGGUGAAAUGCUUAGAGAUCAUGCAGAACACCGAUUGCGAAGGCAGCUUACCA